UGGGGAAUAUUGCACAAUGGGCGCAAGCCUGAUGCAGCCAUGCCGCGUGUGUGAAGAAGGCCUUCGGGUUGUAAAGCACUUUCAGCGAGAGAAGGAGUUCAGUGUUAAUAGCACUGUUCAUUGACGUUACUCGCAGAAGAAGCACCGGCUAACUCCGUGCCAGCAGCCGCGGUAAUACGGAGGGUGCAAGCGUUAAUCGGAAUUACUGGGCGUAAAGCGCACGCAGGCGGUUUGUUAAGUCAGAUGUGAAAGUCCCCGCGCUUAACGUGGGAACUGCAUUUGAAACUGGCAAGCUAGAGUCUUGUAGAGGGGGGUAGAAUUCCAGGUGUAGCGGUGAAAUUGCGUAGAGAUCUGGAGGAAUACCGGUGGCGAAGGCGGCCCCCUGGACAAAGACUGACGCUCAGGUGCGAAAGCGUGGGAGCAAACA
rnacentral:rRNA from 1 species